AACUUUCGGCAAUGGAUCACUUGGCUCUGGCAUCGAUGAAGAACGCAGCGAAAUGAGAUAAGUAAUGUGCAUUGCCGAAUCCCGUGAAUCAUCGACGCUUUGAACGCACAUUGUGCCCGCCAGCACUCUGGCGGGCAUGCCUGUCCGAGCGUCAUUUCAACCCUCAAGCACUGCUUGGCGUUGGGGCACUACGCGCUGAGCGUAGGCCCCUAAAAUCAGUGGCGGGCCCGCCGUGGCUCCGGGCGUAGUAGCAACACCUCGCCCCGGGACUGCGGCGCGCUCCGGCCGUUAAACCCCCCACUAUACUGAAGGUUGACCUCGGAUCAGGUAGGAAUACCCGCUGAACUUAAGCAUAUCAAUAAGCGAGGCU
rnacentral:misc_RNA from 1 species